GAGCAGUCAGCUUUCGUCCCAGGAAGGUUAAUAACUGAUAACAUUAUCACUGCCUACGAGUGCCUACACUUUAUGAAGAGGAACAAGGCAAAAAAGCACCAGUCCUGUGCGUUGAAGCUUGAUAUGAUGAAAGCCUAUGAUAGACUGGAAUGGCCUUAUCUGAGGGCGAUUAUGCUUAAACUUGGCUUCACCAAUAGGUGGGUGGACAUCGUUAUGAGUCUGGUUACCACAGUUAAAUUUUCAGUGAUGUUCAAUGGUAAGAAACUUGAAGAGUUUGAACCAUCAAGGGGGAUAAGACAAGGGGACCCAAUCUCUCCAUAUUUGUUCUUGAUAGCAGCAGAGGGCCUGUCGUGCCUAUUAAAAUCCAGAAGAGAGUCAUCCAACUUGCAAGGUCUACAGGUGGCACCCUCAGCGCCACCGGUGAACCAUUUGCUAUUCGCUGAUGACAGCCUGCUGUUCUUCAAGGCAAACGGUGAGGGAGCUAAUGAGGUGAACCUGGUUUUGGACCAAUAUUGUCAAGCGUCGGGGCAGCGA
rnacentral:rRNA from 1 species